UUACUUUCAAUUAUUAAUAUAAACUUAUCCACUUAAAAUCAACAAUAAUUUCUAUCUAUAAUAAUCAAAUAUAUCAAAUACACACAAUUAUUAUGCAUAAGGUCAAUUAAUUCAAUGACGUCCCAUUGUUAUAUGGAGAUGUAUCACUUAUGCAAAAUGAGUAUUGUAGUGCACCAAAUCAUCUAUUAUGGGUACAAGACUCAUCUGCGUGGAGUUUAAAACUCAUCCCAUGUGGAAUAUAUGACUCAUCUAUAUGGAGCACAUAGUUCAUCCGGAUAACUAACUAUGAAGUACAAGACUCAACCAUAUGGAGUACAAGUUCAUCUCAAACACCUGCAGUAAAAACAAUUCAUUUUUAAUAAUCAUCUUCGUAACAUUAUAUUUAAAAUAUAAUAUUUUAUUUAAAUGUACAAUACAACAAUAAUUAAACCCCCAUAAUAAAACAAUGUUUCAAAGAAUACAUAUUCAAACGUGUCGCGGCCUAAAAUUUCGAGUUUUCAUCGAAUUCAAUGGAGUCGCCACAAAAAUUUAUUUUAAAAUAGGGAAAAUAUUGGAAAACCCUAAAAAAUAUAAAAAUGGUCUUUGAAACCAGAUUUUGAGUUCGGAAGUCGAUUAUGCAUAGGGAAGGUAUUAGCACCCUACGACAUCCGUUAAAAUACGGUUUACCUUUAAUUAAUUGUGCAAAAUUAUAUCAACUUAAAUAUAUUUAUUUUUCUUUAUUAUUAAAUAUAAAUAUAAAUUGUUUUUUAUAAAUGUGAUUUUUGAGAUAAAAGUGUGUUAAAAGAGUGAAAAAAAAAAGAAAGUUUUUAUUAGUGUGCUUGACAAGAGUGUGAUCUUGCUCCUACGUAUCUCCCAGUGCGAUGGAGAAAUCAAAGCUACGUAGUUCUUGGUAAAAAAAUAUGAAUGCGUUGAUUGCUUUUAAAUAAAUUGUAUUUUGUUACUUAAAAAAGUUAAUUUUGACGAACAUAAAAAAAAAACUUGUUUGAUUUGAAUAAUUAUUUUAAAAUAUGAGUUUUAAAACGACCGAGUUGUACAACUCGUGUCUCAAAACUCAAGGAGUAAAAGGAUGUCACAUCUAAUUUAUUCCUCUUUAGAAUAUUUUAUUAUUCUUUUAUAAAAUAGAGUUUUAAGAAGACCAAGUAGUACGACUUGUGUCUUAACAAUUCUAAGAUUAAAAAAAUAUAUCUAAUUAAAUUUUAAAAAGUUGAUUUUUAAUCUAUUCCUUCAUAAAAAUAAAUUUUAAAGCUAUUAAAAUAUAUGAUUUGUAUUAUGCAACUCAGGGAUUAAAAUGUCAUUUUUAAUUUAUUUGUGAAUAUGAGAUUUAGAACCAUCAAAUUGUCACAAUUUGUGUUAUAAUAACUCAAAAAUUAAAAAGAUGUCACAUCUAGUUAGUUUUUAAUGAAAUAUUUGUUUGUUUUUAAUAUUAAUUUUAUAUAUUUUUUUUAAAAUGAUACUAAAUAUUAAAUAAGUUUAAACAAUUUUUAUCAAAAUAAAAUAGUGAAAAAAAUAUAGACUUGUAACUUAAUCUAUUAAAUAGAGAAAAAAAACAAUUUUAAUACUAAUUAUAAAUGUAACCCUCCUUUAAACUAUUUUUUUUUGUAAUUUAAUAAAUGAAGAAAUAAAAUUCAUUUUUAAAACUAAAUAGCACAAACCAAAAAAAACUACUAUAACUUAAAAUAAAUGAUAUUUACUGCCAUUUAAUUAUGUCCAUCAUUAAAAUAGAAUUAUUAUAAUUAAAUAAAAUAAAUACUGAAAACAAAUAAUCCAACAAAAGUUCAUCUACCACACAAAUAUAUUAUUAAAUCAAUUCAUACUAACUAGCAAUAUUAUCAAUAGAAUGGAAUACAACUAACAAAGAAUUGGCGUGAGAUGUGUGUAUGGCGUGUACAGCGUACCAGCCUAGCAGGGACAAGGAUUCAAAAUGCAGAAGCAGAAACAAAUUUAGUACAAAACUAAUCCCACUACAUCAAACAUAUCAACCAAAACUCCAUUCACACACAUCAAAACAAAAAUUUCAUUUUUCAAUAAUAUACAACAGCAAACCUAAUGAAUGAGAAAAUACCCUUUUCUGGCGGCGCGUGGUGGAGUGUUGAUUCUCGUUGUCGGCUGUCGGUUGUUGUUUGAGUAUGUCUAAGUUUAAGGUUAUUACUCUAUUUCUAUUGUUAUUUGGAAACCAGAAUCAGAAAGAAAGGAAAAUCCCCAAAUUUAUCUUGUGAUUUUUUUUUUUUUUUUCUGAUUGAAUUUUUGUUUCAAUAUAUAGACAAAAAUUGUGUUCAUAAGUUAAACAACCUCAUACACUUAAGGAAAAUAAGGGUUACUCUUUUUUGAUUGAGUACUCAAAUGGAGACGCACUGAAAGCAGAGAAAUAGCACACGCCAAAGCAUAGAAAUAGAGAGAGAAAAAAUAGGGAAAAGAUUAAUAAACCUAACUCUUUUGUUUUAAGUUUCUUUAUUUCUUUUUUUUGCUUGGUUUUUUAUUUAUUUAUUAAAUGUAAUAUAAUAAAUCUUCUAUAAUUUUUAUAAUUUUUAGACAAACAUAUUUUUAUUUAAAUUAUUUUUAUUUUAUAGGAAAAAAUUGAGGUACUACAACGGCUCCUAUUUAAUUAUAUUUUACGUGUUAAAAAAUAAUUCAAUAUAAAGACCUAAAUUUUGUAUAAACUAAUUUCGAAUAUAAGAGAAAAUAAAAAAUAAUUUGAAUAAAAAAGAAUUGUUUAUUUAAAAAACGAAAGCACGUAAAAGAAGUUGAUGAUUGACAAAUAAAAAUAUAAAAAAAUGACCAUAUUUGAAAUGAUGAUCUACUUUUAGCGACACAAAUAAAAAGCAUCAUCGUCUUCGGAUUGUUUACCUAUGCGUUGAUCGAUGUAGAUAAAAAUGAACGUCUUCGGUUACCGAUGCAUUGAUCGAUGAUCGUCUUCGGAUUGCUUACCGAUGCGUUGAUCGAUGUAGAUAAAAUGAUCGUCUUCGGAUUGUUUACCGAUACGUUGAUCGAUGUAGAUAAAAAUGAUCGUCUUCGGAUUGGUUACUGAUGCGUUGAUCGAUUGCUAAAAUGAUUGUCUUCGAAUUAGUUACCGAUGCGUUGAUCGAUUGAUAUAAAUAAAACGAUGACUAAACCAAACAUGAGUUUAAAAUUUAGAAGGUAAAUAAAAUGAGAUAAAUUUGUUUUAUUUUUAUUUUUAAAAGGAAGCAUGUAUAUGAUAAUGCAAACGUUAAAUCAAUUCAUACUAACUAGCAAUAUUAUCAAUAGAAUGGAAUACAACUAACAAAGAGUUGGCGUGCGUGAGAUGUGUGUAUGGCGUGUACAGCGUACCAGCCUAGCAGGGUAAACAAGGAUUCAAAAUGCAGAAGCAGAAACAAAUUUAGUACAAAACUAAUCCCACUACGCAUCAAACAUAUCAACCAAAACUCCAUUCACACGCAUCAAAACAAAAAUUUCAUUUUUCAAUAAUAUACAACAGCAAACCUAAUGAAUGAGAAAAUACCAUUUUCUGGCGCUUGGUGGAGUGUUGAUUCUCGUUGUCGGUUGUUGUUUGAGUAUAGGUUAAGGUUAUUACUCUAUUUCUAUUGUUUUUUUGGAAACCAAAAUCAGAAAGAAAGGAAAAUCCCCAAUUUCAUCUUGUGAUUUUUUUUUUUUUUUUUUUUCUGAUUGAAUUUUUGUUUCAAUAUAUAGACAAAAAU
rnacentral:lncRNA from 1 species